GGAAAAAGCUCGUAAAUCCGAGUAAGAAGAACUGGAUUUCUUGUGCUUAAAAACUCUAUUGUUUUUUUAUCUGAAUCUUUUGUUUAAUACAUGAAAUGACCCUAUUCUAGUGGUAGUCAUCUGGAAUAGUUUAUAGUGGCCUCACCAAUACGUAUAUAGGGCUUUCUUUAAAAAAUAAAAAUAAAAAAUUUAAGCCAGAGGUUUUUAAUGUUAGUGUCGACUGAUUAGGCUACAUGGUUGAAUUAUGUUUAGAGCAUCUGAACAAUAAUUUUUUGGAAUUGUUCAUACUUGUUUGAAUUGUGUCCUUCUUUUUGAAGGAACUAUAUUUUAGUUCUCAUU
rnacentral:misc_RNA from 1 species